rnacentral:misc_RNA from 1 species
GAUGAAGAACGUAGCGAAAUGCGAUACCUGGUGUGAAUUGCAGAAUCCCGCGAACCAUCGAGUCUUUGAACGCAAGUUGCGCCCGAGGCCACCCGGCCGAGGGCACGCCUGCCUGGGCGUCACGCCGAAACACGCUCCCACCCCCCCUCACCGGGGGAGCGGGACGCGGCGUCUGGCCCCCCGUGCCGCGAGGCGCGGUGGGCCGAAGAUCGGGCUGCCGGCGUACCGUGCCGGGCACAGCGCGUGGUGGAUCUCUACUCGGCGCAGUGCACCCGGCGCGUAGCCGGCGCAGCGGCCCCUAAGGACCCAACGAACGGAGCGCAAGCCGCUCCGACCGCGACCCCAGGUCAGGCGGGACUACCCGCUGAGUUUAAGCAUAUCAAUAAGCGGAGGA